rnacentral:rRNA from 1 species
AUGGGUCAGCGACUUAUAUUCUGUAGCAAGGUUAACCGAAUAGGGGAGCCGAAGGGAAACCGAGUCUUAACUGGGCGUUAAGUUGCAGGGUAUAGACCCGAAACCCGGUGAUCUAGCCAUGGGCAGGUUGAAGGUUGGGUAACACUAACUGGAGGACCGAACCGACUAAUGUUGAAAAAUUAGCGGAUGACUUGUGGCUGGGGGUGAAAGGCCAAUCAAACCGGGAGAUAGCUGGUUCUCCCCGAAAGCUAUUUAGGUAGCGCCUCGUGAAUUCAUCUCCGGGGGUAGAGCACUGUUUCGGCAAGGGGGUCAUCCCGACUUACCAACCCGAUGCAAACUGCGAAUACCGGAGAAUGUUAUCACGGGAGACACACGGCGGGUGCUAACGUCCGUCGUGAAGAGGGAAACAACCCAGACCGCCAGCUAAGGUCCCAAAGUCAUGGUUAAGUGGGAAACGAUGUGGGAAGGCCCAGACAGCCAGGAUGUUGGCUUAGAAGCAGCCAUCAUUUAAAGAAAGCGUAAUAGCUCACUGGUCGAGUCGGCCUGCGCGGAAGAUGUAACGGGGCUAAACCAUGCACCGAAGCUGCGGCAGCGACGCUUAUGCGUUGUUGGGUAGGGGAGCGUUCUGUAAGCCUGCGAAGGUGUGCUGUGAGGCAUGCUGGAGGUAUCAGAAGUGCGAAUGCUGACAUAAGUAACGAUAAAGCGGGUGAAAAGCCCGCUCGCCGGAAGACCAAGGGUUCCUGUCCAACGUUAAUCGGGGCAGGGUGAGUCGACCCCUAAGGCGAGGCCGAAAGGCGUAGUCGAUGGGAAACAGGUUAAUAUUCCUGUACUUGGUGUUACUGCGAAGGGGGGACGGAGAAGGCUAUGUUGGCCGGGCGACGGUUGUCCCGGUUUAAGCGUGUAGGCUGGUUUUCCAGGCAAAUCCGGAAAACUAAGGCUGAGGCGUGAUGACGAGGCACUACGGUGCUGAAGCAACAAAUGCCCUGCUUCCAGGAAAAGCCUCUAAGCAUCAGGUAACAUCAAAUCGUACCCCAAACCGACACAGGUGGUCAGGUAGAGAAUACCAAGGCGCUUGAGAGAACUCGGGUGAAGGAACUAGGCAAAAUGGUGCCGUAACUUCGGGAGAAGGCACGCUGAUAUGUAGGUGAAGUCCCUCGCGGAUGGAGCUGAAAUCAGUCGAAGAUACCAGCUGGCUGCAACUGUUUAUUAAAAACACAGCACUGUGCAAACACGAAAGUGGACGUAUACGGUGUGACGCCUGCCCGGUGCCGGAAGGUUAAUUGAUGGGGUCAGCGCAAGCGAAGCUCUUGAUCGAAGCCCCGGUAAACGGCGGCCGUAACUAUAACGGUCCUAAGGUAGCGAAAUUCCUUGUCGGGUAAGUUCCGACCUGCACGAAUGGCGUAAUGAUGGCCAGGCUGUCUCCACCCGAGACUCAGUGAAAUUGAACUCGCUGUGAAGAUGCAGUGUACCCGCGGCAAGACGGAAAGACCCCGUGAACCUUUACUAUAGCUUGACACUGAACAUUGAGCCUUGAUGUGUAGGAUAGGUGGGAGGCUUGGAAGUGUGGACGCCAGUCUGCAUGGAGCCGACCUUGAAAUACCACCCUUUAAUGUUUGAUGUUCUAACGU